rnacentral:lncRNA from 1 species
UUUAUAUAGGAAUAGAAAACACAACAAAAUAAUUAAGAGAUCAAUUAAGUAGCAAAUAAAGGAAGUCACAUGUAAAUCAUCAAGAUCUUCCCUUAAUCAAGGGACAAUUAAACCACUGUAGAAUCAUGCUAGGUAUUUAAGGAAAAGAAUCAAGUAAAGUUUAAGCUACAGAAUAUGCAAUUAGGGGUAAAUUCACAACAAUCUAAUUAAGGAAAAAAAUCAAAAAUAAUUAGCGGAAUACAAACAAGGCAUGGAAAAACAAUUAAG